AGAGGUUGAGGUUGACGUGCGA
rnacentral:siRNA from 1 species